UGCAGUCGAGCGCACUCUUCGGAGUGAGCGGCGGACGGGUUAGUAACGCGUGGGAACAUACCCUUCUCUACGGAAUAGCCUCGGGAAACUGAGAGUAAUACCGUAUACGCCCUUCGGGGGAAAGAUUUAUCGGAGAAGGAUUGGCCCGCGUUAGAUUAGAUAGUUGGUGGGGUAAUGGCCUACCAAGUCUACGAUCUAUAGCUGGUUUUAGAGGACGAUCAGCAACACUGGGACUGAGACACGGCCCAGACUCCUACGGGAGGCAGCAGUGGGGAAUCUUAGACAAUGGGCGCAAGCCUGAUCUAGCCAUGCCGCGUGAGUGAAGAAGGCCCUAGGGUCGUAAAGCUCUUUCGCCAGGGAUGAUAAUGACAGUACCUGGUAAAGAAACCCCGGCUAACUCCGUGCCAGCAGCCGCGGUAAUACGGAGGGGGUUAGCGUUGUUCGGAAUUACUGGGCGUAAAGCGUACGUAGGCGGAUCAGAAAGUUGGGGGUGAAAUCCCAGGGCUCAACCCUGGAACUGCCUCCAAAACUCCUGGUCUUGAGUUCGAGAGAGGUGAGUGGAAUUCCAAGUGUAGAGGUGAAAUUCGUAGAUAUUUGGAGGAACACCAGUGGCGAAGGCGGCUCACUGGCUCGAUACUGACGCUGAGGUACGAAAGUGUGGGGAGCAAACAGGAUUAGAUACCCUGGUAGUCCACACCGUAAACGAUGAAUGCCAGUCGUCGGGCAGUAUACUGUUCGGUGACACA
rnacentral:rRNA from 1 species